AAGGCAGUGGUGAUGGGGACUUCCCUUUGGUCCUCAGGCAGGUGCACCCUCUCUGUCUGGGUCUUCAGGUCUCUGCGGUGUCCAUGUCCCCAAGAUGGGCUACAAAUGCCCCUGGCGCUCCUCACGGGGUCACACUGUCUUCAGGAAAAGGGGAGGAAAAGAGACGUGAGGAUGAGAAAAUUCUUCCACCCAUAGCCUGACUUUCCUGUGAUGAGAAAAUCUAUCACCAAACCUAACCAACAGGCAAAUCAUACAAAUAACAGCAGCUACCGACCCAUCUCACCUAGCAGGAGGCACUGCUAUGUCCUGCGGUUCCCCUCUCUGGCUCCACUUCAUCCUGUUGAAUCCCGUGGCUCUCAAGGGAAAGAAAACCCUUUACUCAAGAAACUCACUUUAGAUCCUUUGUAGAACAAAGCUUUUCUGGCCCUAAUGGAAAAAGGGAAGCAAAACCAGCACCCAGAGCAAGGGUUUCUUAUUAGCCAUGCGCUUAAUGGGACCUGUUUAGAAUCACGCACUGUUUCCAAUGUCUGCAUUUUUGGAAGUGCCCCCUCCAGAUGGCAGUGCAUGCUGGGCUUCUAGAACUGGUCCAUGCUGGCCACUUUCACUGAGGGUCUGGGCCGUGUGUGUCUUCUGGGCUUCUCAGAUGGGUGGGGCUCUGGGGCAGGAGAGUAAAUCUUGUUUUUCAGAAGAAAAGAUGAGGCAGGAAGGGUAGCUGAGACCAGGGCUGGGCCAGGAUGGGAGGAACUGGUGACAGCUGAGGACCCCUCAGCUCCUAGCUCUCUAAGACAUGACCUCAUCCAACUCUGACCACACCCUGUUCUGGAAGUGAGGAAAAUAUGCCUCAGAGAGGUUUAGCAGCUCUCCCAAGGUGGUUUGGCCAGUGAGGAACAGUCUUUCUGACUCCAUGGCCAGAUGUUCAGGGCUUUGCACACCAGCUAUCUCCAGGUGGGUGUCAGCUUUCUCUCCCUGGAGAGUUUUGCUUUUCUCUUCACUGGUGAAAGGCUUGUAUGUGAAUUCAAAGAACAAAGUGAGCGUCAGAGGAAGAGGAUAUUUUCUCUGGAAAAGGCAGAAAACCCCAGCUUGGAGUCAGCAGCCAAAAGCUGUCAGUUCUGACAAGAGAGUGGCCAAGAUUUCCCCUCCGUAGUCCCAGGACCCAGGAGAGCCUUGGCAACUUUACAAGAAUAAAUGAUGGAGAGAACCAAUGGCUCUCUCCACCUCUGCUGCUCUUUCCUGCCCCUCAGCCUCAUGCCUGCUUUGGGAAACAAAACGGCACCAGCAGUGACAAUAGAGGCACACACACACGCACAUGCACGCAUGCACACACACAUGCACACGUGUGCACAGACACACACACACGCAGUUGCACACAUAUGUACACACAUUCUUGCACACACAUGCGCACACAGACGUGCACACACAUACUUUACAGGACAUGGAGGGUCUUGUGGUUUGGAAACAAAAGAGGAGGAACUGGGAAAAUCUCAGUGGAGAGGACCCUGAAUGCUUGACCUCCAGGAGUUGGUCACCCUUGGUUCCCAUCAGACGUUGCUUCUUCCGUAAGCUCAUCUUGUGCCCCUAAAUAUAAGAUCCGUGACAGCAGAGACCACUAUUCACUGCUGCAUCCAUGUGGCCCAGGAGAGGGCUUGACAUCAUGUGGCAUUUUUAGAAAACAAAUGUUUUUUUCACUGACCAUAGCUGUCUGCAGGGACCUUGUGUGGGAACCAGGACCUGGGGAUCGGGUGUUGGGGCUACAGGUUUCUCCUGAGAUGAGCUGGCAGAGAGCUGAGAUGAGCUGUUCAGGCGCACAGAGGCUGCCUCAAGCUCAGAAGCACAAGGGUGGGCAGAAUAGAAUGGGGUGGCUGCCUGUGGGCCCGGCGGGUUGAUGCCCAGGAGGAUGGAGAGAUUGGAGCAGGGCAUGAGAUGUCGGGAGGUGGGGGUGAGGUGGGUGUCACCCUCCUGCUGCCCGCCCACCCCCCCGCUCCUCUCCUCAUGCAUGCCCCUACCCUUGUUGAAUGUACCCAAGGCUUGCAACCCCUUCCUCUUUCUCCUGAACUCUUUGGGCUGCUGGUGGGAUGCCCUCCCCCCAUUAGAGGUGGGAGAAGCCAGGGAGGUGACCCAGUUCAGCCCCCCUUGAAUCCACUGCAUUGUAGAGACACUGCCUCCUACCUCCCAACCUCUUCAGCUUUACUUGUUUGCCGGAUUUUUUUUGCACCUUAUAGUGGAAAAUUUUUAAACAUUUACAAAAAUGGAGAGAAAGUAUAAUGAACCCUCUAUGCCCAUCAACGAUUUUUUUUCAUGAUUCUUGAUAUUUGCCAACCCUGUUUCAUGUCUUUCACAUUUUUCCUGGAUGGUUGUAAAGCAGACCCCAGACAUUAAGUCAUUUCACUUGUAAACAUGUGAAUAUGCAUAUUUUGUUGAUAAGGACAUUUUCUUUUUAAACAUAAGGUCAGUCACCCUACCCUCAUCUGGCUGGGAAUGUCUCUUCAAAGCUGGCCACCAACAAUCCCUCCCGUUUCUACCCCAUUCCUCAGGAGUGUGAAGGCUGGGCCCCAUCCCUCGAAUCUCGGCCAGGCUUGUGACCUGCUUUAACCAAUAUAACGUGAUGGAAGGAACACCACGUAAUGUCCAAACCCAGGUUAACAGGCCUUGCAGUCUCUGCGUUUUCCUUCUUGGGACCCAGUUGCCAUGUAGUGAAUCUUGGUCUGGAGUAUAAAUGUUGAGAUUCCAUGAACAGAGGGAGCCAGAUGGCUGCAAGAGCCCCAGCCACCUCCGCAGAGGCAUCAGACAUGUGGAUGAAGUCGUCUAGAAUGUUCCUGCCCACCUGGGCUCCCAGCUGAGUGGAGCCACAUGAAUGACCCCAGCCAGGACCACACUCAGUGAAGAACCCCUCAGGCAUCUCUCCCGUGAUGUGUACUGUCAUGGAUGUGCUUCAGCACAGUGUCCCAGAGGGCCUCAGGAAUCAAAACAGUUCCUUGUGCAUUACCUUUCCAGCCAGGAUGCUUUGGACUGAAAGCAAGAAGCUCCGGCUGCAAAUGGCUUUAAGAAGAAGGACUUACACCAUAUGCUGAGGCAGAAGCAGAGCCACGAGUGGUCUCAGAGUUUGUGCACUGGCUCCAGACAUCCUCGGAGACCCAGGCAUAUUCCAUCGUUCCCCUCAGUCAUCCUCUCCCCACCAGGGAUGUUUCCCCAGUGGUUGUGUUAGGGGAACCACUGACUGAAACCGCCCAUCCUGGCCAGGCCCGAUAGCAACCACUUGCAUGAGUUCUCUUACAACAGGAGGUCCUGGUGAGGAAUGUGGAACUAACGAGCUACCACCAACCACAAGAAUUCGGCAAAGGUCAAAAGGAGAGAGGAGAUGCCAGUCCAUACAUCCUACCAACUUCCCAGAAUCCUCCUGGCUGGAAUUCAUCUCAGCUGAAUGAUGCGUGCGCCACCAGGAAGGAGCCUGAGUCACAAUGAUUGGCCAGAGACAACCCGGAAACUAACCCCAUCACCAUAAAACCUGAGACUGUGAGUCACGUGGCAGAGCAGUUCUCCUGGGUUCCCUUACCCUCUUGCUCUCCACCUGGGCUCCCUUUCCCAAUAAAGUCUCUUACUUGG